GCCUGGGUGGCUCAGUCGGUUAAGCGUCUGACUUGGGCUCAGGUCAUGAUCUCAUGGUCCGUGGGUUCGAGCCCCACGUCGGGCU
rnacentral:tRNA from 1 species